UUCUCAUCAAACUGUGAUUUUACAUUCUCUCCCUAAAUUCAUUGGAAACGGCAUUUGAAAUGCUGUUUGAUGCUGUAAAAUCAGUGCAGGAGGAGACUAAAAUGUUCAAGCACCUCCUCGGAGACAUUAACUCUGCACUGGACUCUCCACAGCCACCCAUCAAAGACAUCGAAAAAUAUAACUCGAAAGAGGGACUGGAAUAUUUUGCAAUACAAAUGAAGGAGGGAGCAAAUCUUGUUCAAUAGUGCAGCAAAGUUGGCGUGUGGAGAAAAUACAAACACACCAACAAGCUUCAUCAACUGGAGCUUCAAAUCUCUUCGAAGAGUUUUUGAUGCGCUCAAAGUGCAGGGCAUAAGGGAUGCGAGGCUCAAAGUGCAUGGUAUAAGUCCAGUUGAUGAAGCUUGUUGGCGUACUUGUAUUUUCUCCACACGCCAACUUCGCUGCACUAUUGAACAAGAUUUGCUCCCUCCUCCAUUUGCAUUGCAAAAUAUUCCAGUCCCUCCUUCGAGUUAUAUUUUUCGAUAUCUUUGAAGAGUAAUGUGGAUUUGAUGUCUCCCAGGGGGUGCUCGAACAUUGUAGUCUCCUCCUGCACUGAUUUUAUAAAGAACAACAGAAAUUCCAAUGAGAAAUUUUGAUAACUAGCCACUUUUUUAUCACAAUAAAUUUAGUCUACCUUUUACAAUUCUUACAUAUCUAACCAAAUGUCUCUGUGAAAUUUAAAAAAUACCCUUGAAUUAAAGCGCUAAUUACCCUCUCUUACUCGUCCCUUUUCUUUUCAAAAUACCCUAAUAAAAUUUCAUCGAACUGAUAUUAUUUCGAUAGAUGACCAUCAUGAGAAAGACUAUUGACCAUGUAGAGUCAAGAAGAACAAGAGAAACAUCAUCGUAGAAAAUGUAAAUAGAAAUGUAUAUAUACUUUUUUACUACUUAUGAGGUGGACUCCGCUGAUUGUAAAGAGACAAAAAAUAAAUGAGAUCUCAAAUUUACA